CUUCCGUUGAUCCUGAUCAUAACAACGUUUGUUUUCAUGGAAAAAAAAAUAUGGCGACUAAGAAACACUUAAUGUCAACAAGAUUUUCUGAUUGACAAGAGAAAAGGUCAAACAGGAACUUCAAUUGUGAACAUUGCAGAGAACACACCCAUCAGAAGAUAACUCUCAGAAAAAGGACAAUUAAUGAAUAAAAUGGACAAAGGCAGAACUGAAGGAGAUGCAUGAAAUGAGGAAUAUUUCAAAGAUUGCCUGAGCAUAACCACUGCUACUGGAUAAACAUAUGGCAAUAUAAAAGAGCAGGGUCAAUAGAGGUAUCAUACAGUAUAGGCCAUGAGAGACCCUGAAGAAGAAAGUAUUGAACAGAAACAAAAAUAAAACCUUUUUGACAUUUAUUGAAAUAUAGGAUCAAAGUCUUACAUGUAAAAUUUGGGCAUGUAAUGACUUUUCUCUAGCUCUAAGACUUAUAACAGUGAUGAUUUGAUUUUAUAUCUUUAUCCCGAUUUGUCGAAAAGAUUUGGACAUAGUGCAUCAAUUAUUUUAAAGUUUUGAUACAACGAAUUCACUUGUAACUGAGUUUUCUGGUGCGACACUGUUUUAUCGGCUUCAAAACUAAGUUUGUGAUUUCCAAACCAGAUUAAUGAGAUCAUGUAAUAUCUUUUAACAUCGGUGACUAUUUAAUCCAUUCUUUUACAACUCAUAAGUAUUUUUAUUAUUACAGGGAAGCAUUGUACAUGUAUCUGUAA